CCUACGGGAGGCAGCAGUGAGGAAUAUUGGUCAAUGGACGAGAGUCUGAACCAGCCAAGUAGCGUGAAGGAUGACUGCCCUAUGGGUUGUAAACUUCUUUUAUAUGGGAAUAAAAUGUUCCACGUGUGGGAUGUUGUAUGUACCAUAUGAAUAACGAUCGGCUAACUCCGUGCCAGCAGCCGCGGUAAUACGGAGGAUCCGAGCGUUAUCCGGAUUUAUUGGGUUUAAAGGGAGCGUAGGUGGAUUGUUAAGUCAGUUGUGAAAGUUUGCGGCUCAACCGUAGAAUUGCAGUUGAUACUGGCAGUCUUGAGUACAGUAGAGGUGGGCGGAAUUCGUGGUGUAGCGGUGAAAUGCUUAGAUAUCACGAAGAACUCCGAUUGCGAAGGCAGCUCACUGGACUGCAACUGACACUGAGGCUCGAAAGUGGGGGUAUCAAACAGGAUUAGAUACCCGUGUAGUC
rnacentral:rRNA from 1 species